rnacentral:tRNA from 1 species
GGUAUGUGGCUCAAGUGGUAGCACACUCGCCUAGCAUGUGUGAGGCCCUGGGUUCGAUUCUCAGCACCA